GACUCCAGGCACUGUGUCAUCAAGAGACUGAAGGGGACAAGAGUAGAAACGGAUAACCACUUUGGAGUCUACUGUAGCAGUUCUGGUAACAGAUGAUGACGUCGGCCAGUAACAGCAGAAGUGAAAAGAUGUGGUAGAUUAUGGGUAUAUUGUGAGGGUAAAUCUAUUUGACCUUUUUUAUGGUGUGAGAAGGAAAGGAGAAGCAUGGACGACUCUAAGGAAAACUUGAUUUGAUGUGAGCUAAAAGGGGGAAGAAAAGUAAAAAGCAGGUAAAGUUCAGAGACCCGCUCUAGACAUGAUAAAUUAAAUGUACCCAUGAAACUCCAAGGGCAGAUGUCAAGAGAGCAGUUGCAUGUAUGUGUCUGGAUUUCAUGAGAAAGAUCCAGAUUGAUAAUCAUUAAUGUGUUAUUAGGGCUUAAAACCAAGAGAUUCAAUAAGAUUACCAAGGAAAUGAGUGUAACUACAGAAAAGAAGAAGAUCAUGUACUGAGCCGAGGAAAACUCCAAUAUUAAAACGAGGGAGGUAGAGUGGAAUCAGUAAAGACUAAGGAAUGGUCAAUAAGGAGGAUGAAAACCAGGAGAGAGUGGUGUCUUGAAAGCCCAGUGAAAAAAGCACUUCAAAAAGAAAGUAAAUAUGUGAUUUAUCAGGUUGAAUGCUGCUGAAAGGACAAAUAAAAUGAGGACUGAGAAUUUGACCUUUGGCUUUAGUAACUUGAAAUCAUUGUUGACAAGAGCACCUUUACUAAAAUGAUAGAAACAGAGACAUAAUUUGAGUGGGUUUAAAAGAGAAUGAGAAAGGAGGAACUAGAAGUACAGACUAUAUGCCAUAGUUUUGAGGGGUUUUGUGAUAGAGGAGAGCAAAGAAAUGGAGUGAUAGGCUACAGGGAAAAAUAGGGUAAAGAGAGGGUUUAUUUGAGAUUAUUAAAAUAAUAGCAUAUAUGUAGAUGAAUGAAAAUAAUUCAACUGGAGAAAAAAAUUGAUGAUGCAAGAGAGGAGCAUUUCUGGGGUAAUAUUCCUGAGAAUGUGAGAAGGCUGGAAUCUGAUAAACAAUUGAAGAGGUUGUCCUUACUAGGAACACGGACACCUCAUCUACAGCAAAAGGAAAAUACAGAUAUUUUGCCCUUUUGGAAACUGAAGAUAAAAUAGAACAAGAAAAGAAUUUUAAGAUAUGUUAAUCUAGCAAAACUAACAUAAGAAUGGCCACCUUGAAUUUCAUGAAAUUUUGCCACAGAGCAAUACUAAAAACUGAAUGAUUAUGCCUUUUUCCGUAUUUUAAUUAAAGCUGAAAUGAAAAUA